GGACGCGCCCCUGGGGGCCCGGGCCGUGAGACUCGCGUAGUCUGUUGGGAGGUGGGGGAGGGGGACAAUGCGGUGUGCGAAGAGUGCGGAAGAAAUCACGCGAUUGGCUUUGGAGUUCCACUGGGCUCGAAUCUCAGCAGUGCUUUUUAUUAACCGUGGGACCUUGGGGUACUCGGCUCUCCUUUCUGAAUGAGUUUCCUCUUCUGUAAAAGAGGGAUGGUUAAUUCAACGAAUGUUUACUGAGCGCUUAGACAAGUGGUGCGGGUUCAAGGCUAGAGGCAGUAGAAAAGGAAAACAAGGCUCCUGGUCUCGGGGAGCUUACCACGGGGGUGUUUGUACGUGUGUGUGUUCAUGUGCUCAGUGGUGAAAGACAAGACAGAAAAACGGGAUCAACAUCGAAAGCAACAAGAUCAUUUCAACUUGAAAUGGGCCUUUCCAUUCUUUUCUUCUGCUCCUCUUCCUAGGAAUGUACUAAGGACAAUGACUCUGGAAGCUUCUGGGAAGGGAAUAUGGCAGAAGGUACAGGAGAUGCAGCAGGAAAUAAGACCAAUGGAGUCCUUGCCCUUCUGGAACUCAGUGUUCGAGUAGGAUGGGGCAGACAAUUCACAACUAGUAACCACAAAAGAUGCUUCCAGUGUGCUGCUCUUGUUAAAAUCAUCAGCGACACUCACUUUGCUAAAUCUGAUGACCAAUCCUCCCUGCUACCUCUGACUUCUGAGUACUUCCCAUGAGCCAGAUGCUGUUGUAGGCCCUGGGGACACAGCUAUGAACAAGAGAGGCCUUGGGGGCCGGGUACAGUGGUUCCCGCCUGUAAGCCUAGCACUUGGGAGGCUGAGGCGGGCAGAUCACCUGAGGUCAGGAGUUCGAAACCAGACUGACCAACAUGGCGAAACCCCAUCUCUACUAAAAACACAAAAAUUAGCCAGGUAUGGUGUGCAUGGGUAUGGUUGUGUGCACCUGUAAUUCCAGCUACUUGGGAGGCUGAAGUAGGAGAAUCACUUGAACCCAGGAGGUGGAGGUUACAGUGAGCCCAGAUCAUGUCACUGUACUCCAGCCUGGGUGAAAGAGCGAGACUUUGUCUCAGAAACAAACAAAAAAGGCCUUGGGGACCCCCUGUUCUAGUAGAGGAAGGCAAGUGAUGAGUAAAAUAAAUCAGUAAAAUAUAUGGUGUGUCAGGAGGUGACAAAUGCUGGGGGCAGUGAAGGAGGGGAAGCAUAGGAAUUGCCGCACUGGGGCUGAGGGGUUGAACACUCCCCUGAGAGAGGUUAAGAAGUGAGGGGACAGUCUCUGAAGUCCUAAGGCAUGAGGCGCCUGGCACUUCUGAUCUGUCUGAUCCGCAUGACUGAAGGCCGCUGUGGCUGCAGCAGAGUGAGGGAGAGGAGGGCUGGAGGGAUGCCGGCCUUGUGGGCUCCUGCGCUGUGAACGGAGGAGGGAGUGAUCCAGCUUUCACUUUAAUGGCUACAAUGGAGGGAGUAGGGAGUGGACCGUUCUUGGACAAGGGUGAAAGCUGGGGACUAGUCCUGAGACAGUCACCAUCACACAGGCAGGAUGACUGUCAUGUGGGCUGGGGUGGUAGCAAUGGAGACUAAGAGAAGUGGUUGGGUCCUGGGCGUUUUAAAGGGAGAACUGAAGAUGGCAUGUGCUAACAGGUGAGAAAGGCAGGACUCCAGGACCAUUCCAACGGUUUUGGCUGAGCAAUUGGAAGGGUACAGAAGAUGAUGGGAAGGGCAAGUCUGGAGGAGGGCAGAGGAGGUGUCAGGAAUUCAGUUUUGGACAUGGUAACUCUGAGAUGCACAUUAGAUACCCAGAUGGAGCUGUCAGGCAGGCAGUUGGAUGUGCUCUUCUGGAUUUCUGGUGGCGGCUAAGCAUAUCACCGUCUAAAUGACAUUUAGUGCCCAUUACUGGAUGGGGGCAUGAAACAGCAGGUACUGACAGGACAGAAAAGUCCCAGGGCUUAGUCCUAGGGCUUUUGAUGCAAAGAGGAGAAACCAUCAAAUUUGUUCACAGCUGUGCUCCCCAGAGCCUAAAACAGUUCGUGGCACAAAGUAAUUGGUAGGUCAUUAUUUUUUUAAUGAAUAAAUGAAUAAGUAGUGUUAAGCGCUAAGAAAGAAAUAGAACAGGGUGAUGAGUUAGAGUGUAUGGGGGAGAGUGUUCUUCCCUAUAUAGGGUAGCGGUCAGAGAAGGCCUCUUUGGGAAGGUGACAUGUGAGCCAAGCCCUGGAGGACAAGGAGAAAUUCUGUAAAUAGUUGCAGAGGAGACUGCAAGUGCAAAGGCCCUGAGGCAGGAGCAAAUCUGGCCUUUUGGAGACUCCAUGUGCUCAGGGCACGGGAGGCUGAGUCACCCAUGAACUUGCAAACCCAGGAUCUGAACUUUGGAUCACAUCCUGGGUGUCCUGGAAGGUUUUAAAACAGAGAAGUUAUGUGAUCAGAUUAAUAUUUUGUUAUUGUUAUUUAUUUAUUUCGAGAUAGAGUCACCCAGGCUGGAGUGCAGUAGUGCGACCUCGGUUCAGUUCAAUCUCUGCCUCCCAGGUUCAAUCAAUUCUCCUGCCUCAGCCUCUUGAGUAGAUGGGCAUUAUAGGCACCUGCUACCACACUUAGCUAAUUUUUGUAUUUUUAGUAGAGACGGGGUUUCACCAUGUUGGCCAGGCUGGUCUUGAACUCCUGACCUCAGGUAAUCCAUCACCUUGGCCUAACAAAGUGCUGGGAUUACAGCUGUGAGCCACUACACUCAGACCAGAUUAAUAUUUUAAAUGAUCCCCCUGAGGAACCUGGAGAACUUUCUGUAGGAAAGCAGGAGUGGAAGCAAAUGGAGCGUCAGGAAAGACUCACGCAGUAGCCAAGGUCAGAGCCAGCUUCUCAGGGGUCAGGGGAGUCAGGAGGGAGAGGAGUGGGCAGAUUCAAGAUAUUUUAGGAACAGAAUGAUAGGACUGGGAUUCAAGGGCCCUGCUGGUUCAAUCCCGCCGUGAAGAUGUCCCUCAUUGACAGACAUGGAUGGCCUUGGGGAGGGGCCAGGACCCCUGUAGGGCCAGAGGGUUGCUCUUAAGGUCUCUCCUUAGUCACCCCAAUCCAAGACUCCAGGGGCUUCCCAGGCUGGAAGCUGUGGAAGGUGGUGGGAAGGGAUGUGAUUGGGAUGGUCAUUUCAUGCUGGGCUCUGGGCCACCAUUGUAAGGUAGCUAAGACCAUGCAUGGUACUAGGGGAGAGCCCUUUCUUCCUUUUUCUUCAUCAGACGUAGAUUCCUGGCUGGCACAGUGGCUCACACCUAUAAUCCCAGCACUUUGGGAAGCAAAGGCAGAGAAUCACUUGAACCCUUCCAGGCUGAUCUGAGACCAGUCUGGGCCACAUAUUGAGGCCCCGUCUCUAUUUUUUUUUUUUUAGAUGGAGUUUCGCUCUUGUUACCCAGUCUGGAGAGCAAUGGCAUGAUCUCAGCUCACUGCAACCUCUGCCUCCGGAGUUCAAGCAAUUCUCCUACCUCAGCCUCCUGAGUAGCUAGGACUACAGGCACACGCCACCAUGCCCAACUAAAUUUUGUAUUUUUAGUAGAGACAGAGUUUCACCUUGUUGACCAGGAUGGUCUUGAUCUCUUGACCUCGUGAUCCACCCGCCUCGGCCUCUAUUUUUUUUUUUAAUUAAAAAUCUUCCGGGCAUGGUAGUGUGCAUCUGUAGUCCCAGUUCCUCAGGAGGCUGAGGAGGGAGAAUGAGGCCAAGAGUUUGAGGCUGUAGUGAGCUAUGAUCGUACCACUACACUCCGUCUUGGGCAACAGAGCAAACCCUGUCUCAAAACAACAACAAAUCUAUAUUUGUGAUCUCUUCCCAGCCUGGUUCUCCUCCAGUGCUCCCUCUGUCCAAAUUUCUUCAAUGCUCCUCCCACUGAGAGGUGGUAGUAUGUCCCUCCCUUGAAUCUGGGCCUGUGACUCUAGUAGAAUACGGUGGGUCUGAUGUGGUGCCAGGUUUCAGGCCCAGGCCUUAAGAAACUGGCAGCUUCUGCUUCCUGUCUCUUGGGAUGCCUGCUCUGGGAACCCAGCCACUGUUCCAUGAGGAAGCCAAGCAGCCACAUGGAGACAACACACAGAGCCGUCCUGGCCAGCACCCCCAGCUGAGGCUCCAGCUGACAGCUGGCAUCAGCUGCCCCACGUAUGAGUGACCAGAUGACUCCAGCCUCAACCUGUGAGCCACCCUAGCUAACCUCCCUUUGGAGGAGAACUGGGCUGUCUUACUGAGCACUGCCCAUGCUGCAGACUUGUGAGCAUAAAAAAUGAUUAUUGUUUU